UGGGGAAUAUUGGACAAUGGGCGAAAGCCUGAUCCAGCCAUGCCGCGUGUGUGAAGAAGGUCUUCGGAUUGUAAAGCACUUUAAGUUGGGAGGAAGGGUUGUAGAUUAAUACUCUGCAAUUUUGACGUUACCGACAGAAUAAGCACCGGCUAACUCUGUG
rnacentral:rRNA from 3 species